AAUGAACGUUGGCGGCGUGGAUUAGGCAUGCAAGUCGUGCGGUAAGGCCCCUUCGGGGGUACACGAGCGGCGAAAGGGAGAGUAACGCGUGGAUUAUCUACCCCGGGGUCCGGAAUAGCUGUGGGAAACUGCAGGUAAUGCCGGAUGAUGUCUCCGGACCAAAGGUGCGAUUCCGCCCUGGGAUGAGUUCGCGUCCUAUUAGCUUGUUGGUGGGGUAAAAGCCUACCAAGGCGACAAUGGGUACCGGGCGUGAGAGCGUGACCCGGCUCACUGGGACUGAGACACUGCCCAGGCACCUACGGGUGGCUGCAGUCGAGAAUCUUCGGCAAUGCGCGCAAGCGUGACCGAGCGACGCCGCGUGCGGGAUGAAGGCCUUCGGGUUGUAAACCGCUGUCAGUUGGGAGGAAAUCCAUAGGGGCUAUCCCCUAUGGUUGACCUAUCAUCAGAGGAAGGACGGGCUAAGUUCGUG
rnacentral:rRNA from 1 species